ACUUUAUAGGAAAAGAAAAGGCAGGAAAGGUCUAAUUAUAUAAAAAAUUUGAAAGAUCCAAUGCCAGGAUUCGCUAACACAGGUGACAUAAAAUUCAAUACUCAGGCACAGCUAGAACCUCAUUGGUUAUUACUAUUGGGCCAUCACCUCGCCACCGAGGAGAAACAUCUAGCACCAUCAUGUUUGGCCAACGGGUAAGUUCAGUUUUCUCCAUAUGUUUCUUUAGAAAAUGACCAUUAAAAAGGUACAUUUAGAGGUUGUUUGGCUGAGCUUAUAAGCUCUUUAAAACAACUUAUAAGCUGUUCAUAACUUAUAAGUUCCUUCGAAGUGUUUUGUUUGGUAAAAACUACCAUUGAAUUGGAGAAACCGGUUUAUGAACAGAGCAGAGAAAAGCGGAUCAUGGAGAGAGUAUGACACAAAAAAAAAAAAAAACCCGUAGCGUCCCACUCAACUUCCUAAUGAAUUUCUCUCUAUUUGUUGUAGAAAAAAAAAGAAAGAAGAUAAAUUCUAAUUUAUGCUUAUCAUCUUACAUGUAGUAAACUAUAGUUGAUGCAUAUUUAUUACUCCCUCUGUGUCCCACUGAUAAUGGCACAUAUUUCUUUUUGGUUUGUUCUAUUGAAAAUGGCACAUUCUAAAGAUAAAUUGUGACCCCUACCCACUUUACGCUCAUUAAAUAAGUGUCUCUAUCUACUUUACACUCUUAACACCUUUUACUUAAUUUCCGUGCCUAGAAAAAUUGUGCCAUUAUCAACGGGAUGGAGGGAGUAUUAUUUAUUUUUUUGUGGAAAUAGAUGGUUUCCCUCACCACCGCCGCUGGCUCCGAAUCUCCGACGAGAAUUGUGUGUGUUCCUCGCUUAUAUAAUCAUCACCAUCACCAUCUCUUCCACAAACAGAAACAUGAAUUCCUCCGCAUCUUUUUAGUUUCACACUUUUUAAAACCCAACUCAAAACACACAAUCAAGAUUCAAUUUUUAUUUGAAUUUCGAUUCCGAGAUUAUGAGAGCCGGAUUCAGCCGACGCUGAUGCCGGAGGCGUCCGCCGUCCUAGCCCAAUCCAUCCGCUGCAGUGUCGGAGAUUCGAGCUCGGCGUUGAGGGACACCAUCUAGCGCCUCCCCGCGGUGCCGAGGCGGCGGCGGAGCCGCCGGUCUCCACCGCGCUGAUGGCGCCGCUCUUCAGCGCCCAGGCCCACCAGCGGCGCGGCUGCCCCGAGCAGCAGCAGCAGCCCCUCCUCGCCGUGAAGGUCGAGGUCGAUCAGCUCAUCGUCUCCAUCCNUAACUAUUGUGGAAGACCCAAAAACUGGAGAUGUUUCUCUUCCUGGAGCGACCUUGGUAGAAGUUAGAGAUCAUAAAAGUUUUAUGCAACUACUGCAAUUAGGGGAAGCCCAUCGUUUUUGCCGCAAACACAAAAUUAAAUACAGAAUCCUCCCGUAGCCACGCUAUUCUAAUGGUGAAUAGAAUGCAUUCUAUUUUGUGACAAUGUCAAGAUUAAAUUGUGGUAUCACAUGUUACUGAUACAUAUCUUAUGACUUUGGUUGGGGGCAUUUCUUCAUUAAAGGUACAUGUAAAGAGGUCAGUUAAAGGAAAGAUUCUUCAUUGUCUAAUGAAAAUGGUAACAUGACCCCAGUGAGUAAAACACUGAAGCCUCCCAUUAUACGAAGAAGCAAGCUAGUUAUCGUGGAUCUUGCUGGUUCUGAGCGCAUUGAUAAGUCAGGUAUUGCUUUCAUUAUUUCAUUUCUAAUCUUGGCUCCCAUUCAAUUAAUGUGCCAUAGCUUUUUGACCUUUCCAUAAGUUCCUGCCUUCUUGACAAGAAGCUACUCCCUCAAUCUCAUUUGACUUGGCCUCUAUUCCUUUUUGGGAUGUCCCAUUUGACUAGGCUUGUUUCCUUUUUGGUAGUCACUUUACACUACAUUAAAUAUGGGCCGACAUACCUCUGCACUACAAUGUUACUCUCCUAAAUAAGCAUGCCAAAAUGAAAUAGGCCAAGUAGACUCGGACGAAGGGGGUACUUUUUAUGUUUGUACCAGUUCCUUUUACAUCUAAAUGCCAGCCUAUAGAAUGAGUAUUUAUCUUGGUAUUGUCUCAAGUUGUUUACACAAUUGUAGGUUGAAAGGAAAGAUAAUCUUUCUUAUCUUUUGAAUGAAGGAAGAAUCCGUAAGAUUUUUCCAGCUAAAUCAGAGAAUAUGUAACCUAAAAUAACUCCUACGAAUCAGAAAAUAAAUUAGGAGAGAAUCAAGCUUAAUCUCCUCUAGAACAUAACAGAAUCCUGAUUAAUUUAUACUACAAAUAUGCCUCAUUGUCCACUUAUUCUAGAUAUUGAGUGAGUAUAAUCUGUGUUUCUUGUUGGCUUCAAUCCAUGUCUUCAAAGGAAGGUGUUGCUUUGGAAUGUUAUACUCUAACUCUUCCCCUUCGUGCUUUUGACUGUGUUUUGUCUUCAUCCGGCAGGGAGUGAGGGUCGAUACAUUAGAGGAAGCCAAAUCUAUCAAUCUCUCUUUGAGUGCAUUAGGGAAGUGUAUCAAUGCGUUGGCAGAAAAUAGUGCUCAUGUUCCAGUCCGUGAUUCGAAACUCACUAGAUUGCUUCGAGAUCCUUUGGAGGUGACGGUUUGAAUAAAAUAAAAGACAACCAAUCUAUUACUAGGUCAUAUUGCACUGAAUAAAACUACAAAAGAAAAAACUAAUACCAGGAAUGAAUAGCAUACAUAUCUAAAAUGCCUUCCUUCAAGAGAAACUCUUUUCAUCCUAUGCUGUUGUCUCAUCAUGCCGCCUCUCUUCAAAUUUACACUUAGGAUGAAGAACACAUACUUGUCUUAUUGAGUAUAAAUGAAAUCUUACAGUAGAUGUAUUCCAACUUUUAAGGAUAUCGUGAUACUGGUUUCUAGAAGUUCAAUAGUUAUCUGUAUGUCUCUCCUUGUUUGAUGUAUAUGUUUGGAUUUUUUUCCUUCUUUUUGAAUAUAACAUGCACAUGGGACUAUAAGUAUUAUUUUGCAUUAAGAUGAAGUUCCAAUGAUCUUUUCUGCUUCCUACUUCCUGCUGUCACCCUUUCUAUUCUGGCUGAAGAUUCAGAUCAGUGGGAAAUGCUCAUUUUUUGAACAUGGCAUGCCUAUUCUUAUAUGCGUCAUAUUAGAGAUCGUUGAGGUUGAUUUAGAAGAGAAGAGAUCAUAUGAAAACUUAUCUUGUCUCAUAAUUAUCUAAAGAUAACUGAUCUUGUUUUUAUGCUUUUCCUAAUUAUUGUAUUGUAGACGAGUCCAAUAAGGAAUGGGCGUGGAUGCACGGCCUAUUUCUUGAAAGCCUAGAGUUAGAGAUUAUCUAUUUAAACGUUGAGUCACGAGUCUUUUAAGCGGGGGGAGGGGGUAAUUUCAGUUCAAUUUGGCCUUGUGCUUGGACAGUCGUAGUCUGUAUUGUUCUAUUUUCUUUCAUCAUUAUACACUUGGGUAGGAGCCUGAGACAAAGGAUCGAUAGAGAAAUAAUUCAACGAUAACAAAGAAAAACAAGGUUCUUCAGACUAAUGCCGCAACAUAUAAUGCUGAAAGAAAGUAGAAUAUCAAGGCCAAAUAAAACUGAAAUUACUUUCCCCUAAAAGGCUCCUGACUCAAUGAUUAAAUAGACAAAUUCUAACUCUAGGUUUUAUGGAAAAUAGGGCCACACAUCCUUGAACAUACCUUAGUGGACUCAUCUACCAUAACAAGAAUAGAGAACAGGAAAACUAAGAUAAGGAAACAUACAGAUAAUUAUGGGACAAGAUAUGUAAAGAUUUCAUGGGAUCUACUAAAUAGAUCAUUAAAACACCAUAUGCAUGAAAUUCAGCAAUAUUCUGCGUGGUAGUGUAUAUAAAUUAAUAUGCAUUUAAGGUUCUUCUAUAUUAAGUAAUCUUAGACCUCAAUAAGAAGAGGCUGGAUAAGCUUUGCAUGAAUCAGUCAUGCAAAGCUUGCAGGAGACAUUUUAAUUUCAUCAUAUUUGUAUAUCAUCUGAAAAAAGAAUACUCAUCCAAUCUAGUCAUGUUUCAUUAAUUUUAUGUAGAUAACUAGGUACAUCUGUUGAUGAGUAAAUUCAUUAGUUAAUUGCAGCAGCUGCUUGAAACUUUAUGUCAGGCAAUGUUGUCAUUCAAUGAUGCUUCUGAUGGUCCAGUUGACUGCAGAUUUUCUUGUAUGUAUGGUUGAAACCAAGUCAUGUUUCAUAAUUUUGUUUGCUAUCUGCUUCUACAGCUCUGAUUAUUUAUCAAAAUCUAAGGGUCUAGGGUUUCUAAAAGCAGAUGUAACCUAGUUAAGUUGUCUCUAUUCUCCUUGGCUUUCUCUUACUUUAUAGGAAAAGAAAAGGCAGGAAAGGUCUAAUUAUAUAAAAAAUUUGAAAGAUCCAAUGCCAGGAUUCGCUAACACAGGUGACAAAAAAUUCAAUACUCAGGCACAGCUAGAACCUCAUUGGUUAUUACCAUUGGGCCAUCACCUCGCCACCGAGGAGAAACAUCUAGCACCAUCAUGUUCGGCCAACGGGUAAGUUCAGUUUUCUCCAUAUGUUUCUUUAGAAAAUGAC
rnacentral:lncRNA from 1 species